rnacentral:rRNA from 1 species
UACGAAGGUCCCGAGCGUCGUUCGGAAUCAUUGGGCGUAAAGAGCUCGUAGGCGGCUCAGUAAGUCGGGUGUGAAACCUCAGGGCUCAACCCUGAAACUGCAUUCGAUACUGCGUGGCUAGAGUGCUGGAGGGGAGACUGGAAUUUACGGUGUAGCAGUGAAAUGCGUAGAUAUCGUAAGGAAGACCAGUGGCGAAGGCGAGUCUCUGGACAGCAACUGACGCUGAGGCACGAAGGCCAGGGGAGCAAACGGG